rnacentral:rRNA from 1 species
CCCCACUUUCCUCUCCUCCACACCCAACCCCCGGUCGCCUCACCUUCUCCCGUGCCGUCCUCCCCAAUCCCGGUCACCUCCCUUUCGAUCUCCGCCGGCCACGCCACUCCAUCGCCCCAGCACCCGCAGAGCGCGCGCCUUCAUCUACCAGCGAUGGUGGCCUCACCGCCUCGCCGGCGCAUGGAUCCAGCACCGCACGCAACCGGCCCACCUUGAUCUGCCGCCUGCCCUCCCCACGUUCUCUGGCGAGCUCGCUUGCUGAGUGAAGUACGUCCGGCGACUGCGUGCGGUUCGGCAACGCAAAGCAUUUGCAUUCUCGCUGUGUUGAUGUGUGCAGUACAUUUUAUAAAAAGUUGCAGUUGGGUUGUAUUUUGUGGGUGAUUGUAAUGUGGAGACAGAAAAAUGGACUUUGUGUGGAUUACUUAGUUUGUAAAAGAAAAACUUGGUAAAAGCAGUGCGCUCGGUGAACCGAAGAAG